rnacentral:rRNA from 1 species
GCCCUUAGAGUUUGAUCAUGGCUCAGGAUGAACGCUAGCGGCGCGCUUAACACAUGCAAGUCGCGCGAUCGGCUCCUUCCAACUUCCUUCGGGAAGGCGGAAGGAGUACGGAGCGGCGGACGGGUGAGUAACGCGUAGCUAACCUACCGUCGGGAGGGAGAUAACACCGGGAAACCGGUGCUAAUAUCCCCUAACACCUGCGGGGCCCAGGUCCUGCAGGUCAAAGUGGCUUUUGCUACGCCUGACGAUGGGGCUGCGUCCUAUUAGCUAGAUGGUGAGGUAAAGGCUCACCAUGGCGGAGAUAGGUAGGGGGCCUGAGAGGGCGACCCCCCACACUGGGACUGAGACACGGCCCAGACUCCUACGGGAGGCUGCAGUGGGGAAUCUUGCGCAAUGGUCGCAAGGCUGACGCAGCGACGUCGCGUGGAGGACGAAGGCCUUCGGGUUGUAAACUCCUUUUCUGGGGGACGAAUAAGGUAGGCAGGCAAUGGUCUACCGAUGACGGUACCCCAGGAACAAGCGCCGGCUAACUUCGUGCCAGCAGCCGCGGUAAGACGAAGGGCGCAAGCGUUAUCCGAAAUCACUGGGCGUAAAGGGCGUCUAGGCGGCCGGUCAAGUCGACGUUGAAUUUCCUCGGCUAAACUGAGGAAGGUACGUCGAAACUGGCCGGAUCGAGGAACGUAGAGGAAGGCGGAACUCUCGGAGUAGCG